GACGAACGCUGGCGGCGUGCCUAAUACAUGCAAGUCGAACGCUUUUUCUUUCACCGGAGCUUGCUCCACCGAAAGAAAAAGAGUGGCGAACGGGUGAGUAACACGUGGGUAACCUGCCCAUCAGAAGGGGAUAACACUUGGAAACAGGUGCUAAUACCGUAUAACACUAUUUUCCGCAUGGAAGAAAGUUGAAAGGCGCUUUUGCGUCACUGAUGGAUGGACCCGCGGUGCAUUAGCUAGUUGGUGAGGUAACGGCUCACCAAGGCAACGAUGCAUAGCCGACCUGAGAGGGUGAUCGGCCACACUGGGACUGAGACACGGCCCAGACUCCUACGGGAGGCAGCAGUAGGGAAUCUUCGGCAAUGGACGAAAGUCUGACCGAGCAACACCGCGUGAGUGAAGAAGGUUUUCGGAUCGUAAAACUCUGUUGUUAGAGAAGAACAAGGAUGAGAGUAAAACGUUCAUCCCUGGACGUAUCUAACCAGAAGCCC
rnacentral:rRNA from 1 species